UACAGAGGUCCCGAGCGUUGUUCGGAUUCAUUGGGCGUAAAGGGUGCGUAGGCGGCGGGGCAAGUCUGAUGUGAAAUCUCGGAGCUUAACUCCGAAACUGCAUUCGAUACUGCCGUGCUUGAGGACUGGAGAGGAGACUGGAAUUUACGGUGUAGCGGUGAAAUGCGUAGAUAUCGUAAGGAAGACCAGUGGCGAAGGCGGGUCUCUGGACAGUUCCUGACGCUGAGGCACGAAGGUCAGGGGAGCAAACGGG
rnacentral:rRNA from 1 species